rnacentral:rRNA from 1 species
UACAGAGGUCUCAAGCGUUGUUCGGAUUCAUUGGGCGUAAAGGGCGCGUAGGCUGCGGGGCAAGUCGGGUGUGAAAUCUCAGAGCUCAACUCUGAAACUGCACUCGAUACUGCUUUGCUCGAGGACUGGAGAGGAGAUUGGAAUUCACGGUGUAGCAGUGAAAUGCGUAGAUAUCGUGAGGAAGACCAGUGGCGAAGGCGGAUCUCUGGGCCGAUACUGACGCUGAGGAGCGAAAGCGUGGGGAGCGAACAGG